AUAGGGGAGCUUUUUGCUGAGAGGAGGUUCGACCUCGACCCACAUAACCUGAUACGGAUAAUGCCGGCGUAGGAAAACAAGUA
rnacentral:ncRNA from 1 species